AACUCUUCCACCACAUGGUGGCAAUGUGUAGCUUUCAGGCACUCCUGUUGUCUCUUAGCCAAAGGAGAGCAAUCUGAGCCCUCAGCCCCUUAAUAAGCAGAGGGACAGAUGCAGUGCACAGUCCAGCUAUUGUUUUCCAAAUGCCUCUACGUCGUCCUCUCCAAAAAAGAGAAAAGGCAUCUGUCUGAUCACUGCAGCCCUCUGUGUAAAUAGGGACUGUAAACUCCUCCUGAACGGGCAAAGUUCAGUUUGAUCACACAAACGUGUUGCAAGAGGACGCACCAAUGGUUGCAUACAAUCUAAAACAGCUCUGACUAUAUGAGGUGUUAGCUCGACAUUUAGGUUUUAUGGCCGGUUGGAUGGAAAAACGACCAUUUCCACGAGCUGCUGCCAGGACCGAGGGGGGCUCGAUCUGCCACGUGUGACUGUGGCCUCUUCGUAAAAACCGCCCAACCUCCAUGGAGUUACAGGCCUCAGCCCUCUCCACUAUUCCCCUCUAUCUUUACAAGCAUCUUCAAAGCGGGGGAGGAAACAUCUGCCCUCUCUCACCUCGCUCCACCCCCUCACUUCACAGAGCCACCGAGGGAGGGGGGGAUGAUGAUGGAGACAAAACUCAGGAGAGGAAAAGAAGAGCAGGGAAGUCUACACACAUCAUCUUUUAGUUUAGAGAGAUACAGAACUAUUGAGGUAGGAAAGAGGACAAGAGUGUGUCAGUGACAGAGAGUUAAACUGUUAACACACUAUAUGUGCUCUCUAAUGGAGCCUGAUGUAAACAGAGAGGAGUGCAGAUGACAUUCCUAAGGUAGGAUUUUCACACACACACAUACACACACACACACACACACACACACACACACACAGUUUGUCAUGAUUUCAGAAGCAUCACGUUCAUUUACAUUAGCACAGGAGUACACAUCUGUGCUACAUCUACUCUGGACCACAAAUUGCUUAUGUUGGCCCUUAAGUGGGGGGGACAGAAAGAGGUAGCAGACGGUGGGUGUCAAGGUUGUAUCAGCUAAAGAGAGGAAACAAAGUCAAACAUAUUCAUUUUUCUUCACACUGUAUUACAGUAGUAAUAAUAAUGAAAAACUUUUAUUGCAAUGGAAAAAGACUAAGAGGGACGUCCCUGCUGUAUUAGGUAAGAUACCCAGGUCACUCAGGAAGGAACCAAUGAGGUGAGAGUGUGGAAGUGGUAGGUGGGGGGGGGGGGGGGCUGUUGAGUCGGUUCGCUAUGGUUUCCACCGGGCCAACUCAGAUGCUCUGCGGUGUUGCAGCAGUGGUUUUUCGUUUAUUCACCAGAUUCUGCAGGACAUGUACAUAAAUGCAGACUGAUUGUGAUAUGGUACACACUACAUUCUGUACUGUGUCGGCUGCAGAUCAUAUUACACUUUGCUUUCAAUCUGAUCGCACACUGUUUGAAAAUGGUGCUUAACUGUUACAUUUUUGUCCUGCACAGACUGAAGAAGUUAUCAGUGAACGUGGGGGUUGACUGCUGAUAUUCUCUUGGUCAAAUAGGAAGGAAAAAUAGGCUGCAUGACGCAGAAGAACUAUUUGUAUAGCCUUCUCCAUGAUAUGAAGGAAAAAAAGAACACAAUCUUAAUAUAUCUACAGACAGGAAAAUCUGUGCUAAUCCCAGUCAUGAGGACGUGACCACUCAGGCUGUCCUUGGUUAAAAAAAUGUGAGGGAAGAGAAGGGAAAAUAUAAUCUUCUUUUAAUAUUCUUGAAGCUAAUCUCACUGUUCUUCUCUUGUAAAAAUACUGAAUACUUUCAAGCUAAGACUUAAAAAAAAUGCCUCACUUUAUGACAAUUUUAUACUUUAAUUUACUUCAACUUUGAAAACUGACUAGAGAUUUCAAUUGAACAUAAGUUUUAUUUCACACAAGCCAAAAAGGCAGGUUACCACUGCUCUUAAGAGUUGUUGACUUUCAAUAUUGACUUCCUUAUUUUUGUUUUACAAGCUUUCUUGAAACUGUUGGGAAAUGCUGAUAAACACACAUAAACACGUUCAGACACACACACACACACAUAGAGGUACAGUGUGUGUGAGUUUGACACUUGUCAUCGAGCUUGCAUUUGCACUUUGAGCAUCUAUAUUUUUUUCCACUUCAGCUAUCUCCGUUCUCGGCAGUAAAGUUGUUGCCAGAGACUCUGCUGUCUGACCUCAGAUACAGAACAAAAACUGAGAAAACAAAUGUUUGUCUCGUUGAUUUGUUAAUUUUGUUUCUCUGAUUGUAUUUGUUUCGCAGUCUUUAAAAUAGCACAUUAAAACAGUGCCAGCUUCAUGCCGCUGCAAAGAGGCUUCUGCAGCUGCUGCCUGUUGCGGGGCGUUGUCAAAACAAACCACAUAAUAGGCAUCAAUAAUCGCACAUUUCUACUACCCUGCUCUUUUUCAUUUUGACAUUAUGUCACUGGUGAUUGUGGCUUCAGAAUGAAACUGCUUGAGGUUCGGGGGAAAAAAAAACAACAUCUGUCUAAAAAUACGCAGUAUAAAAGCACAAGACAGAGGGAGACGUGCAGACUGAUCGAAAGCCAAAGACGCAGCCGAUCUGGUACAGCAUGUACAGCACAUCACUUUAUCUCCUCUUUUUGUUCAUCCAAACGUUAUACAAUAUAAGUUUUAACUAAUAAAAAGUAUAUUGGAAAGAAUUGUGUUCACAGAACAACAUUUCCUCCAAAAAAACACGAAAAUGUGAUCAAAUGAAAUAAGCUGUGUCCUUUGCAAUAUCUGCUCUGUGACUAUUAGCGAGCCACCAUCAAUAAUCAUGAAAUAUAAGAACAUGUGAUUUAUAUGCCCAUAAUAGGAAAUGAAACAAGAAAAAGCAUAUCAAAAUUAUUCACACCGAGUGUAUUACUGUACAUUUUCCUCAAGAGCAAGAAUCUGCAAAACCUGCCUCCCAUUAAUGGAGCGGUGGACACAGAUGGUAAUCGAAUAGGUGGGUGAAAAGUGUCAAAAGGAGAUUUACUCAAAUGAACAAGGCAAAGGAGAAGUGAUGAAAGAGAGAGAGAGAGAGAGAGAGAGAGAGAGAGAGAGAGAGAGAGAGAGAGAGAGAGAGAGAGAGAGAGAGAUGAAAUAAAGGAUAUGAGGGGGAGGGAAGAGGAAGUGGCAUCAGAGCACAGCUUGAGAGAAAGGUGUGAAAGCCUUUCACUUUUCAAACUAAACGACAGUCAACCCUCGUCCAGGAACGCACAGUGGAAAAUGAAAUAGUUGACCAGCGCUUGUCUGUCCCUGAGCCUGUUUCCUUAUGGAAAGAUCCUUCUUGUGUGAGUGUGUGUGCCUGCGGCUCUGGGCACUAACAUCUGUAACAUCUGUCAGUAUUAUAAAGCUUUAUUCCACAGCAUUAUAUCAAAGGACUUAAACUUUCCACCGUAUAGUCAUGUGAUGUAACAGCGGAGCAACGGUGACGCACAGCGUGCCAUGACAAUGAAUUACUUUAUCCUACACUGUCACUGACAGUUGGUCUGUAGUUGAUUAAUAUUUCCUUUCCCAGUUACCCCUCAUUUACAGAUCAGGGGAGAGUUUCAGUUUGCUUCAGUUUUAUUUUGCUAAAUCUUAUGUAUUGCUCUGUUUUUACAAGAUCUCUCUUGUAUUAAUGUCUCAUGAUAUAAAUGUUUGAAAAGUCAACAAACAUUAAUAAAUAUUUGAUUCUGCAGAAACAUUCAGUACAAUAUAAAUAUGUGUUGAUCAUGAUGUAAAUGUGUCUUUACUUUACAGGUUAAAAAUCUAUUUUAACUUUUUUAAAUCAAAAUUUUAUCCAGAAUGUCCUCAUCAUUCCCAUCUGUAGUUUCCAUCCACCAGUGGUGGGACGUAACAAGGUACAUUUACUUCAUUACUGUACGUAAGUACAGUUUUCAAGUAUCUGCACUUCUGGGUAAAUUUCACUUUUACUCCGUUGCAUUAGUCAGCAAAUAUCUGUACUUCUUACUCCACAAAAUUUCUAGAUCUCACUGAUCCGAUCAGAGCGGACAGGUAGGAUUAGACCCCGCCUUCUCCAAUGAAAGCAAAGAGUGCCUGCAGCAUCACUGGUGAAGAAACACCUGAAAUGUACUCAAAAGAGGCUGAGACUUAAUAAUAAUGCAGUAGACCGUAAUAAUAAUGCAGUAAAUUUAAAAGCAAUUACUUGCUUACAUUUAUUCAGGUAGAAAAGUUGAUGUGGUACUUUUAUUUUUACUUUGAUACAUUUGAUAUAUAUAAAGACCUAUUCUGAAGUCCCACGAGGUUGUCUUGUCCUUUACCUGGCAUGUUGGUACUAAAACCUGUCUGUUGAUCAAGAAACCCCCCCUUUCAAAAUGUUCUUGUGGACGUUUCAGGUGUAUUUCGUAUGAGUAUGAGCGUGGGAGACAGAGUCGGGAAGACAUGCAGCAAAGACACAAGUCCCAAGCAGAAGGUCAAGUGGUGCCUUGCAGCUUCCUCAAAACUUAAUAUGAUGAAAAACUGCAACAGAGUCAAGUCGGUGCUUAGGAAAACCCCGACAGACAGACGACGAGAGACUGAGGGGAGGAGAAGAGGUCGUAUCAGCAUGAGUUUCUCUACCCGUGUAUGAGAUGACAUCUGAUGCUAGCCCAUCUGCCUGUGGUGGAAAGUGCUGAUGCUGUGUGCAGCGGAUACAGCAGGGUAUGUUGUGCAACUGCUGUGAAGCUCUGCAUCAUUCACUGCAGUUUGCAACAAGAGCAUCUGAGCAUUUCCACCAUCUGCGGUUGAGACCUGUGGUUUUUAGUGCUUCAUAACUGACCUAUGUCUACACUUAGAUCACGUUUGUUAUGUUCACUGUCUUCUUACUCUCAGUUCCCUAACUUCUUUGGUUGAUCGUCCUCCCAUCUGGAUUGCAGUGUCCUCUCUUUCACAGCUGCGGUAUUUCUCUUUUUUUGGGGGGUCAGCCGUGCUGGGAUGUGUCAUCUGACCCUUUUUUAAUGUGCAUGUGGAGCGGUGGUAAGAGCAGCACUCUGUAUUUAAACAGAGUGCCAACUAGUAAUCAGCAUUUUCCAAAACCCAAGUGCAAAUGUGUAAGUGUUUAAGUGCUCUCACUCCCGCUGCAGGCCAGGCUAUGUGGCUCACUAUACCUGCAGUAGUAACGGAAUGUUAUGUAUAACAGAAGGCAGUAUAUCAUUGACCCGCUGCAUUAGUCUUCUUGGUUUUCACAUGUGACAUUAAAAGAGGAAUGUUCAUAAUUAACACAUCAAUUGUAAUAUUUAUGCACCUUAUAUCAACUGACCCCUGCAUUUUUUUCUUCUAUGAAGGAACUUUUGACUUAAGAAAAGUGCUCUAUGUCAUAUUUGAAUCACAGCGGCUCCGUUCUGCUCUUCACUGGAUUUGGGAAGUGACACGUCAGUUACCCAAGAUAUCGUUUCGUUAACAUUGUCAUUUAGUCCUUAAAAGUCCUUUCUUCUGCAAUGUAAAACCAGGUUAUGUGGAAAUAUGAGUGUGUAAUGUUGAGCUAUUUAAGCCUUUGUUACCUGAAGCCCCAUUCAUUUUUUUCCUGACGUGAGACACAAUUGGAGAAUUUAUGGAGGUUGGACCAACAUUAAACUCACCUGGUUCAAGUCCAAAGAAAAUUCGAAGGGCCAAGCUUGAACACAAAGCACACUGAUCAUCAAAACCUCUGGAACCUUUCCAAGUUGACAUAUUCAUCUGCGUCAUCUACGUGCUUUGUUCCUCUUUUCCCUCCUUUGAUAUAUGUAAUCAUUUCGGCUUUUUCACACUUGCAUAUGAACGUGUUUGAAACAUGGGCGGGGAGGAAAAUCUCCAGGGCAGUUGACUCAGCCAUUUGUGCAUUCUCACACACGGCCCUUCUGCAUAAUUUCAAGAGACUAUACAGAGUCUAUUGCAUGUCUGAAAGCAGUUAUAGAUACUAAUACCUUUUGUAAACAGCUUCAUUCAAAAAUCUGAUAUUUUGAUUCUUUCAUUCUUGAGGUGCAGUCAGGGGAAGUCAGGGGAAGUUUCUAACCUUUCAUUAUGUCCGACUUAACUCUCAGAUAACGGUCAUCCGUUGGUUACCCUGUCUGUUGGUCAGUCACUAAAGCUGAGUGUAGACACAAUGGAUGACAGCGGGGCAGUAUUAACGUCUUAUGAAAUGUCAGCCAGAAACAUGUCAUGGAUAUGAAUGCGUGUUAGAGACGUCAUUAAUGCGCCCACUCACACAUACAGCCCCUCCGGAUAACUUCAGGAGAAUAUCCGGGGCGAGUGCUUGUCUGAAAUCAAACUGAAUUGAAGUUUGACAGACGUAUCAACAGCUAAUGAG